AGGUUUGCAUUGGAAAUUAGAAACCCUGAGAUCUUAGGAAGCUGUUGCCUAUUCCUCCUUACAGGGGCAGUUUUCUUCUGACCUGCCAGGGUGAGCACUUGGAUACACUCACAUAUGCACACUCACAUUGACAUUUAAUAAGGACUGUGGGCUGGGAUAAGAAGAGGGACAGUUAUGAGGAAGUUAAUAAUAAUAUACAGGGGUUGGAGGCACUGCCUGCCUGGGACAUGGGCUCCGAUAUUUUCUAAGUCUUGUCCCACCUAUGUCUGAGGACAUCCCUAGAAGUCCAUGCUGGCAUCAUUCCCGGUGUGCAGGUGGGGACACCGACAGGCUUUGAGAGACAGGGACUCAUCCAGGAUGGAGAACAGGUAGGAAACGGGAGGUGAGUCUGGACCCAGGUCUGUCUCUUGAGAGCUGCACACACAGCCUGCCUGGGAGCUGUGUGGAGGCCUGUGUGGUGCAACUGUGUGAGGCCCAGGGCUGCGUGGAUGUGGGAUGAGCGGUCAGGAUCCCGAGGGCUAUGUGCAGGGCUGUCAACUGCCAAUCCAAGGAAGGGGCCCCCGGGUGCUGAAGUCACUUCCUCGAUGGCAGACCCUAACAGAACUCGGAACCCUGUAACCAGGCACCCACCUUCUGGCAACAGCGCCACAGCCAGUUGGGGCUCACUCGGCUGGAAAGUCUUCAUCCAGAAGGAUGUUCUCCAGCUGUGUCUCGACUGGCCAGGGCUUCUGCUUCAGGAAACCCUGGAGGGAGACGUUUUUCAGAUGUUUCAGGCGGUUCAGUGCUCAACCUGGAUUCCUCUGGUCCUUUACCAGGAGGUCACCUAAGGGCUCCUCACGGGACUGCAGACAGGAGCCGGUCCUCUGAACCCCCUGCUCCACAUCCCUUCACGAGGGGCAGGAGCCCCACACCAGCGACAGAGCUCAGGGAGGGCACAUGGGGGAAAGUGUGUCCGCAGGGAACAGGAAAGAGACCUGCAGGCUGUGGAGCGUCCAGAGACGCAGACUGGAGACGUUGGUGGGCAACCUGGUGCCUGCCUUCCUGGGCCCUGACCCCUCUUACCUCCCCACAUUUUGGGGCACCUAAAGGGCUUUUGGUAACCGCCAGCAGCUGCUGGACCUUCUCUUCAUGAGGUACGGAUGCAUCCUCCCUUACUGCAAUGAGGAUGGUGGACCCCUGUACCAGCUGAAAAUCCACCAGAUUGUCCCUGCCUGAAGAUGCUCCUCGUGUACGUAGAGCUCAGCAUGCCCUACUCGGACAUGGAGCAGUGAGCCCGCCAUCUCCUGGCGCAUCUAGAGACCCUGGAGCCCUCUGAGGCAGACGGGAAUGCAUCCACUGGAGAAGCCCUGGAAACUUCCCCAGAUCUAGAGCCAACAGCACUCCUACUGCCUGCAACAGCUUCACAGUCAGAGCAAGCUCAAAGCCCAGCUCGCAUUCAAGUUCAAGGACUGCAUCAAAUAAACAUGCCGGCUCCAAACCCGGAGAGGCGGUGUGCUCAUGCCGUGACUCUCCCUUAGGCUUGGAAGUGAGGAAAAGUACCUCCAGGCUUCACUUCUAGAUCAGAGAACGUGCAAGAAACAGCUCUCUUCCUCCUUCAGAGCCUGAAUCGCCCGGAAAUCCUGUGCCAGCGCUGCUUCUACAGCCUCAGUCCGCAGACUUAAGCCAACCUCGGCCAGGGCACUGCCUCGGCUCUGGAGCUCCUUGGUGCUUUGCAGUCAGCUGUGGCUCUGGUGUUAUCCAGCUGUGCUUCUAGAGACCCCAGCAGACACAGCUUUUCUAGCAGCUCAGGCACUGGAGCCAGUUCCUCCCCUAACAUCCCUGAAGCAGCUCCCACUUGAUCAGCCAGCCUCGCCUUCCCAGGCAGAUGCUGUGCUGCCCCUGUGCCAGCGCCAGCCUUGAGCCUGUGUCUCCACCCCGAAUCUUCCCUCUCUUAAUAUGUGUUUUGAUUUUUGAUUACAUGUACAAACUUAUUUUUUCUGUGAGACAAAGUGAACUUAGAAACUGAAUUCUAUGAGUUUUUAAAUUGUAUGUGUGAGUGGCAUGGAGAACAUUCACUAGGAUGACCUGUCUGUUGUCUGUUGCAGAGCAUCUGCAUCCUAUUUGAUGCCAAAUAAUCCUGCAGGCUGGGACGGCACUGCACUCGACUCUCUCCUCAGCUGUUGAUGGACAAUAGGAUUAUUUUCACCUGCGGGCUCUUGUGCAUAGUGCUGCU